UACGUAGGGUCCGAGCGUUGUCCGGAAUUAUUGGGCGUAAAGGGCUCGUAGGCGGUCUGUUGCGUCGGGAGUGAAAACUUACAGCUUAACUGUGAGCGUGCUUCCGAUACGGGCAGACUUGAGGUAUUCAGGGGAGAACGGAAUUCCUGGUGUAGCGGUGAAAUGCGCAGAUAUCAGGAGGAACACCGGUGGCGAAGGCGGUUCUCUGGGAAUAUCCCGACGCUGAGGAGCGAAAGUGUGGGGAGCGAACAGG
rnacentral:rRNA from 1 species